rnacentral:rRNA from 1 species
AUUGCACGCUGGCGGCAGGCCUAACACAUGCAAGUCGAGCGGAGCGGCUGACGGGUGAGUUAUGCCUACUAAUCUGCCUGGUAGUGGGUUUUAACGUCCUCUAACGUGCGCUAUUACCGCAUCCUAUCAGAUCAGCCUAGGUCUCAUUAGCUCGCUGGUGGGGUAAAGGCCUACCAAGGAGCCGAUCCGUAACUGGUCUGAGAGGAUGAUCAGUCACACUGGAACUGAGAAACGGUCCAGACUCCUACGGGAGGCAGCAGUGGGGAUUUUGGGACAAUGGGCGAAAGCCUGAUCCAGCAAUGCCGCGUGUGUGAAGAAGGUCUUCGGAUUGUAAGGCACUUUAAGUUGGGAGGCGGUAGCAAGAGAAGAAGCACCGGCUAACUUCGUGCCAGCAGCCGCGGUAAUAG